UACGUAGGGUGCGAGCGUUAAUCGGAAUUACUGGGCGUAAAGCGUGCGCAGGCGGUUUGUUAAGACAGAUGUGAAAUCCCCGGGCUUAACCUGGGAACUGCAUUUGAGACUGGCAAGCUAGAGUAUGGCAGAGGGGGGUAGAAUUCCACGUGUAGCAGUGAAAUGCGUAGAGAUGUGGAGGAAUACCGAUGGCGAAGGCAGCCCCCUGGGCCAAUACUGACGCUCAUGCACGAAAGCGAGGGGAGCAAACAGG
rnacentral:rRNA from 1 species